CGUAGGGCGCAAGCGUUAUCCGGAAUUAUUGGGCGUAAAGAGCUCGUAGGCGGUUUGUCGCGUCUGCUGUGAAAACUGGGGGCUCAACCCCCAGCCUGCAGUGGGUACGGGCAGACUAGAGUGCGGUAGGGGAGAUUGGAAUUCCUGGUGUAGCGGUGGAAUGCGCAGAUAUCAGGAGGAACACCGAUGGCGAAGGCAGAUCUCUGGGCCGUAACUGACGCUGAGGAGCGAAAGGGUGGGAGCAAACAGGCUU
rnacentral:rRNA from 1 species